AUUGAACGCUGGCGGCAGGCCUAACACAUGCAAGUCGAACGAGUGGCGGACGGGUGAGUAAUGUCUGUGAAACUGCCCGAUGUAGGGGGAUAACUACUGGAAACGGUAGCUAAUACCGCAUACCAUCGGAUUUGCCCAGAUGGGAGUGGCUUGUAGGUGAGGUAACGGCUCACCCAGGCGACGAUCCCUCGCUGGUCUGCGAGGAUGACCCGCCACACGGGAACUGAGACACGGUCCAGACUCCUACGUGAGGCAGCAGUGGGGAAGAUUGCACAAUGGGCGCAAGCCUGAUGCAGCCAUGCCGCGUGUAUGAAGAAGGCCUUCGGGUUGUAAAGUACUUUCAGCGGGGAGGCGGUACCCAAAGAAUAAGCACCGGCUAACUUCGUGCCAGCAGCCGCGGUAAUUC
rnacentral:rRNA from 1 species